rnacentral:rRNA from 1 species
AUGAACGCUGGCGGCGUGCCUAAUACCUGCAAGUCGAGCGAACAGACGAGGAGCUUGCUCCUCUGACGUUAGCGGCGGACGGGUGAGUAACACGUGGAUAACCUACCUAUAAGACUGGGAUAACUUCGGGAAACCGGAGCUAAUACCGGAUAAUAUAUUGAACCGCAUGGUUCAAUAGUGAAAGACGGUUUUGCUGUCACUUAUAGAUGGAUCCGCGCCGCAUUAGCUAGUUGGUAAGGUAACGGCUUACCAAGGCAACGAUGCGUAGCCGACCUGAGAGGGUGAUCGGCCACACUGGAACUGAGACACGGUCCAGACUCCUACGGGAGGCAGCAGUAGGGAAUCUUCCGCAAUGGGCGAAAGCUUGACGGAGCAACGCCGCGUGAGUGAUGAAGGUCUUCGGAUCGUAAAACUCUGUUAUUAGGGAAGAAUAAAUGUGUAAGUAACUAUGCACGUCUUGACGGUACCUAAUCAGAAAGCCACGGCUAACUACGUG